rnacentral:rRNA from 1 species
ACUCCUACGGGAGGCAGCAGUAGGGAAUCUUCCACAAUGGGCGAAAGCCUGAUGGAGCAACGCCGCGUGGGUGAAGAAGGUCUUCGAAUCGUAAAACCCUGUUGUUAGAGAAGAAAGUGCGUGAGAGUAACUGUUCACGUUUCGACGGUAUCUAACCAGAAAGCCACGGCUAACUACGUGCCAGCAGCCGCGGUAAUACGUAGGUGGCAAGCGUUAUCCGGAUUUAUUGGGCGUAAAGGGAACGCAGGCGGUCUUUUAAGUCUGAUGUGAAAGCCUUCGGCUUAACCGGAGUAGUGCAUUGGAAACUGGGAGACUUGAGUGCAGAAGAGGAGAGUGGAACUCCAUGUGUAGCGGUGAAAUGCGUAGAUAUAUGGAAGAACACCAGUGGCGAAAGCGGCUCUCUGGUCUGUAACUGACGCUGAGGUUCGAAAGCGUGGUAGCAAACAGGAUUAGAUACCCCUGGUAGGAAAGCG